rnacentral:rRNA from 1 species
GACGAACGCUGGCGGCGUGCCUAAUACAUGCCAGUAGAACGCUGACGAGAGGAGCUUGCUCUUCUUGGAUGAGUUGCGAACGGGUGAGUCACGCGUAGGUAACCUGCCUUGUAGCGGGGGAUAACUAUUGGAAACGAUAGCUAAUACCGCAUAACAAUGGAUGACACAUGUCAUUUAUUUGAAAGGGGCAUUUGCUCCACUACAAGAUGGACCUGCGUUGUAUUAGCUAGUAGGUGAGGUAAUGGCUCACCUAGGCGAGGAUACAUAGCCGACCUGAGAGGGAGAUCGGCCACACUGGGACUGAGACACGGCACAGACUCCGGCGGGAGGCAGCAGGAGGGAAUCGUCGGAAAGGGGGGCAACCCUGACCGAGCAACGCCGCGUGAGUGAAGAAGGUUUUCGGAUCGUAAAGCUCGGUUGUAAGUCAAGAACGGGUGUGAGAGUGGAAAGUUCACGCUGUGACGGUAGCUUACCAGAAAGGGACGGCUAACUACGUG